UACGGUGAUAGAGGCGCACGGACAUAUCCGUGGCACUGCAGCUGGUGGUGGUUUACGCGCCAAAUGGUUUCAUGAUGGAGAGGAGUUAACCAUACCACCCACGGGUCUCUUUUCCAGUGGAUUCUUGAGUGUUUUAAGCAGUGGACAGGAUGAAAUUGCUUGUUGUUCACCAUCCAGCUAUUAUGUUGACAAUGACCACACAUAUGAAAAAGAGGAUUCGGGAGGCAGUGAAGUAUAUAUAAUUCCGGAUCAGAGAACUGAAUUUUCACAGCGACAC